UACAGAGGGUGCGAGCGUUAAUCGGAAUUACUGGGCGUAAAGCGCGCGUAGGCGGCUUUGCAAGUCGGGUGUGAAAUCCCCAGGCUCAACCUGGGAACUGCAUUCGAGACUGCAUUGCUAGAGUAUGGGAGAGGGAAGUGGAAUUUCCGGUGUAGCGGUGAAAUGCGUAGAUAUCGGAAGGAACAUCAGUGGCGAAAGCGACUUCCUGGACCAAUACUGACGCUCAUGUGCGAAAGCGUGGGUGGCGAAUGGG
rnacentral:misc_RNA from 1 species